rnacentral:rRNA from 1 species
UACAGAGGUCUCGAGCGUUAGGCGGAAUCACUGGGCUUAAAGCGUGUGUAGGUGGAUGCCUAAGUACCUUGUGAAAUCCCACAGCUUAACUGUGGAACUGCUUGGUAUACUGGGUGUCUUGAGUCACUCAGGGGCGAGCGGAACAAAUGGUGGAGCGGUGAAAUGCGUAGAUAUCAUUUGGAACGCCAAUGGUGAAAACAGCUCGCUGAGGGUGCACUGACACUGAGACACGAAAGCCAGGGGAGCGAACGGG